ACGGCCGCAAGGUUAAAACUCAAAUGAAUUGACGGGGGCCCGCACAAGCGGUGGAGCAUGUGGUUUAAUUCGAUGCAACGCGAAGAACCUUACCUGGUCUUGACAUCCACGGAAGUUUUCAGAGAUGAGAAUGUGCCUUCGGGAACCGUGAGACAGGUGCUGCAUGGCUGUCGUCAGCUCGUGUUGUGAAAUGUUGGGUUAAGUCCCGCAACGAGCGCAACCCUUAUCCUUUGUUGCCAGCGGUCCGGCCGGGAACUCAAAGGAGACUGCCAGUGAUAAACUGGAGGAAGGUGGGGAUGACGUCAAGUCAUCAUGGCCCUUACGACCAGGGCUACACACGUGCUACAAUGGCGCAUACAAAGAGAAGCGACCUCGCGAGAGCAAGCGGACCUCAU
rnacentral:rRNA from 1 species